rnacentral:rRNA from 1 species
AUUGAACGCUGGCGGCAUGCUUUACACAUGCAAGUCGAACGGCAGCACAGGGAGCUUGCUCCUGGGUGGCGAGUGGCGAACGGGUGAGUAAUGUAUCGGAACGUGCCUGGUAGUGGGGGAUAACUACUCGAAAGAGUGGCUAAUACCGCAUGAGAUCUUUGGAUGAAAGCCGGGGACCUUCGGGCCUCGUGCUACUGGAGCGGCCGAUAUCAGAUUAGGUUGUUGGUGGGGUAAAGGCCUACCAAGCCUGCGAUCUGUAGCUGGUCUGAGAGGACGACCAGCCACACUGGGACUGAGACACGGCCCAGACUCCUACGGGAGGCAGCAGUGGGGAAUUUUGGACAAUGGGCGCAAGCCUGAUCCAGCAAUGCCGCGUGCAGGACGAAGGCCUUCGGGUUGUAAACUGCUUUUGUACAGAACGAAAAGUCUCUGGCUAAUAUCUAGAGAUCAUGACGGUACUGUAAGAAUAAGCACCGGCUAACUACGUG